UACAGAGGGGGGCAAGCGUUGUUCGGAAUUACUGGGCGUAAAGGGCUCGUAGGCGGCCAACUAAGUCGGAUGUGAAAUCCCCAGGCUUAACCUGGGAACUGCAUCCGAUACUGGAUGGCUUGAAUUCGGGAGAGGGAUGCAGAAUUCCAGGUGUAGCGGUGAAAUGCGUAGAUAUCUGGAGGAAGGCCGGUGGCGAAGGCGGCGCUCUGGAACAUUUCUGACGCUGAGGCUCGAAAGCGUGGGGAGCAAACAGG
rnacentral:rRNA from 1 species